rnacentral:rRNA from 1 species
GAGUNCAGAAGGGGAGAGUGGAAUNCCAUGUGUAGCGGUGAAAUGCGUAGAUAUAUGGAGGAACACCGGUGGCGAAAGCGGCUCUCUGGUCUGUAACUGACGCUGAGGCUNGAAAGCGUGGGGAGCGAACAGGAUUAGAUACCCUGGUAGUNCACGCCGUAAACGAUGAGUGCUAGGUGUUGGGUCCUUUCCGGGAUUCAGUGCCGCAGCUAACGCAUUAAGCACUCCGCCUGGGGAGUACGACCGCAAGGUUGAAACUCAAAGGAAUUGACGGGGGCCCGCACAAGCGGUGGAGCAUGUGGUUUAAUUCGAAGCAACGCGAAGAACCUUACCAGGUCUUGACAUCCCGAUGCUAUUUCUAGAGAUAGGAAGUUACUUCGGUACAUCGGUGACAGGUGGUGCAUGGUUGUCGUCAGCUCGUGUCGUGAGAUGUUGGGUUAAGUCCCGCAACGAGGGCAACCCCUAUUGUUAGUUGCCAUCAUUCAGUUGGGCACUCUAGCGAGACUGCCAGUAAUAAACCGGAGGAAGGUGGGGAUGACGUCAAAUCAUCAUGCCCCUUAUGACCUGGGCUACACACGUGCUACAAUGGCUGGUACAACGAGUCGCAAGCCGGUGACGGCAAGCUAAUCUCUUAAAGCCAGUCUCAGUUCGGAUUGUAGGCUGCAACUCGCCUACAUGAAGUCGGAAUCGCUAGUAAUCGCGGAUCAGCACGCCGCGGUGAAUACGUUCCCGGGCCUUGUACACACCGCCCGUCACACCACGAGAGUUUGUAACACCCGAAGUCGGUGAGGUAACCAU